rnacentral:lncRNA from 10 species
GCAGCCCUGGGCUUCUCCAAAAUCCAGCCCAGCCCAGCCCCCGCCAGCAGACCAUUAGCCUGCCUGCCGGCAACCAGGAAAAAGCCCGUGUUUGCUCAUUUGUGUUACAUUGUGGUGACGUCCACUAACAUAAAAUCCACCAUUUUUAGGUAUGUGGUUCAGGGGCUUUAUGUCCAUUCCCACUGCUGUGCAAUCAUCACCCCUGUCCAUCUCCAGAACUUUCUCAUCUUCCCAAGCAGAAACACUGUCUCCAUUAAACACCUACUCCCCAUCCC